rnacentral:lncRNA from 1 species
CCCCACCCCCCGCUCCCGCGGCCUCACUAGGCGGACGCGGCCGGGCGCAGGGACCGGCGGCUGCUCAUUGGCUGCUGCGGAGGAGGGGAGGGGCGCGGAGCGGGUGAGGAGGGAGGGGGCGACGGGCCUUGAGGACGGGGCGAGGGGAGAGAGUGCCCGAGAGGGCAGCGGCGCGGAGAGGACGCGGGGUCCCGCAGCCCCGCGGCCUGGAGGGUGGAGGGGCCGGCGGCGGAGCUCGAGGGGCAGAGCCGGAGCUGAGGCCCCAGCCCCCACGCUGAGGCUGGGCUCGGAGGCCGGGCGAGUGCAGAGGUCAGGGAGCCGGACGCACGGAACGCGCAGAGCCCGCGGGUCGACGGGCGCGGGGUCCCGGACACCUUGAGCCCGGGGAGGUGCGGCAGGGGGGAAGGGGGCAGAGGCGGAGACCCUGGGAGGGAGCGGCAGCGGGGGUCCCCAGGGGCAGGAGCUCUGGCCGGGCCGGGGUCCCAGCGGCGGGCGGGCGCAGAGCGGAGCCGGGUCCUGCAGCCGCCGCGGAGCCGGAGCCGGGCCAGCCCCCCCGCCGUGAUGUCAGCGGGGCCACUCUUAAAGGGGCCGGCCGCCCGCCGCGGGUCGGAGCGGGGCCUGCGGGCACGGGGCGGUGCAGCGGGCGGGGCGGGAGGCAGGGGAGCUCGGCAUCCACUUGGGCAGGGCUCCGAAGCCCGGGAGCCUGCAGGCAAGAAGAGACGCCGGACCCUCAGGAGAACCUGCGAGGCUCUGGGGCUGAGCCCCCCCCCACCGGCGGGCACUACACCGCGGGCCUGCCCAGUCUGAGGACUACAUUCCCCGUCAGCCCCCGCGGCCAGGGGCUGCACCUGGGGGAAGGGGCUGCCAUGAUGGCCGCUGGGAAACGUAGUCCAUCUGCACGGGUCCCGCCACUCUCCCGACUCGCAAGUGGGUCAAGAGAGAAGAGGCGGGAGGAUGCGCCUGCCUGUUGCCUGGCUGGCUGCCGCCGAGAGCCCCGGCCCUGGUUCCCUGAGCUCUUCCGUCCUGGGGCCUCUCCCUUUGGCCCAGUGUCCUUUCACAGGACUCCUCCGACCUCUGGGUCUCAAGGGCGGCUAUGAGAGUGGAGCGAGGGAGGUCAGAGACUCAAACUUCCACCAUCGUCGGACCGUGACCAGGACCAACUGCUGACCCCGACAGCUCCGGAGGGCAGACCACACCACCAAGCCCCCAUCGCCCCAGCCUUCCGCCUCCAGGCCUCAUCCUGCACCUCGCUGCUCCCUGGCCCUCUUUGUCUGCAAGUGCCUUCUCCACAUUAGCUCAGCGGCCCCUUCUUCUGGGGCAAGGGAGGCUCCUGAGGGCAGAGGUUCGUAAUUUGAAGUUCAGCUGGUCCGUGGCCACCACCGAGGGGGCUGUGCAACAGGAUGGGAAAACUGGCAUCUUACUUAGCUCGGUGCCAGCUGAAGGUCAGAUUUCCCCCGAUUAAGAAUGCAGGCAGGGCCAGGGAUUUAGCUCCAUGGUUUGGCCGCCUGCUGUGCAAGCGCAAGUACCUGAGUUCAAUCCCGGGUACCAAAGAAAAAAAGAAUGCAGGCAACAAACUGCCACAGCUGCACUUGCAUCUUUACCACCAAUAGCAGCCACAGGUAUUUCCAAUUAUCGCUCCUGCCUCACACUCACUGCAAGACCUUCCUUUUUAUUUUGUAUUACUGUGAGAGCACAUAAGAACCUGAACAUGUUCCCAUAUUCCAACUUCUAAUAUUUAGAUAGCUUAUAUAUUUAAUUUAAUUAGGUUAGACUAAUUGGACUUUAAGUUUUGGUAACUAUAUUUCUUUUUUUCUUUUUUUGGUAUCGGGAUUGAACUCGGGACCUUGCGCUUGUGAGGCAGGCGCCUGAACCACUGAGCUAGAUCCCCGGCCCCUGUUAACUAUAUUCCAAUGGCUGCUUGCUUGCUUGCUUGCUUUCUUUUUUUGGUACAGGGAACGAACUAUCAAUGAUUGCUUUCUUUUGUCACCUAUUUUAUUUCGUGAACAUGAAAAUAUUAUUUUGGGAAGGAGUUCAUAGGUUUGGCCAGACCACUAGCAACAGAUUGAGAACCCUGGGCCCGUGCAGCAAAAUAAGGCUUCAGAACCUCGGACAGCGGCGCCCAGCCCACCUCGGCGGCCCGGGAGAACUAUGGGCCCCUCCUGGCCCCGCCGUUCCCGACCCAGGGCUCCCUCCGCAGCCAGCACCUCCCCGUCCACCCCACCGUCCUUACCUGCCCUGCCAACAUUUCGUAGAGCAGCACCCGGAAGGACCACCAAUCGACGGACUUCCCAUAGGGCUGGUAGGCAAUGAUCUGAGGAGAGGGCAUGGCCAGGAGUGACCAUCUUCCCCAGGAACCCGGCUCUCGGGCCUCACACCCAGGACACCCACCGCAAGUGCUUUCCACGCAAGCUCCUCCCACUCUGAACAUUUCGUCUAGAGCUCCGCCCUUUGGAAAAUUCAGGAAACAAAGUUUACCUACAUAGAAUGUUUCGUGUUUUGUUUGGCUUGGAUUUUGGUACUGGAGAUUGAACUCGGGACCUUGCACUUUAGAGGCAGGCGGCGGAACCACUGAGCUAAAUCCCUGGCCCUGAACGUUUCUUUAUUCUCAGAUAUAAAAGCUAUUUAAGGUCUGAGUCACAAGUUCCACCCACUUAGGAUCUUUUUGUAACUGGACCUUCCCUUCCAGUUGGGCCUGGGGCUACAUCUCAGAGACCAGAGAUUCUUAAACCUGAACCAACAGCAGGGUCAUUGAAGGACUUUUAUUUUUAUUUAUUCAUUUUUAAAUUUUAUUUUAUUUGGUACCAGGAACUGAGCUCAGGACCUUGCACUUUCGAGGCAGGUGGCAGAACCACUGAGCUAAAUCCCUGGCUUCAGGACUUUUAUUUUUAGACAAGGUCUUGCUAUGUAGUUCAGACUGGCCUAGAACUUGUGGUGACCCUCCUGCCUCAGCCUCCUGGGUGCUCUGAUUACAGGUGUGUGCCACCACACCUGGCUAGUUUUUUUUUCAUCAAAGGACUUUUUGAAAAAUAGAUGUUCCCAUUCCUGAAGAGUCCUGGGUUCCAUAAGCCAGAGUUACAGUCAGAAAAAUAUGUAUCAUUUUCUAAGUUUCUGAAGGUGAUUCUCUUACCAGUUUUACAACCACUGACACUGAUUAUUUGGGCACUUGCAUCAACCAACUAAGAAGACUGAGGGCCAACAUCCCCAUACAACUUGCUGUCCAACUUAGGAAGUCAGGAACACACACCACCCAUCUCCAGGUACAGUCAGACACCAGCCCCAGCUCUGCAAUGUCAGAGCGAUUCUCUGCCCAACCCCUGGAAACACUCAAGGGAUGACACCUACCACCAGGAUUCUGCGGGUCCCGGCCCAGCCCUCCUGGAAUGGCAGAGAUGAAUACACCAUGUGCCUGCUGCAGGCCUGGGCUCCACCCCCAGACACACGCACAUGCACACGCAUGCACACACACUGUUAUGGUUUCCAUCUAGAUGUUCCCCAAAGCCUCAUGCAGUCAGGGCUUUUUCAGAGCUGGCUGAAUCUAGAGUGUGUGAUGCUGGGAUUAAGGGUAUUGAUUACUUAGACUUAGUCCACUGACUGGUUUGGUACCACCCUAAUCCCGGUGGUCUGGUCAAGAUAAAGGGGCAGGAAGACACUGCUAAGGUCCCUUGUUGCUUUGCUACCUUCAGUCUGCCAAGAACUGAUGCCCCUCUGCCAUGUGCCACCCUACCUUGGAGCCAGCUGAUUAUGGACUGCAACCUCUACAAACUGCGAGCUAAAUAAACCUUUCUCCUUUAACUUUGGGAGUCAAGUAUCUUGUCUCUGCAACAAGAAAAGUAACCAGGACACACACACACACACACACACACACACACACACACACGGAACCACGCGCAACACUUAUCAGGGAGCUCUGGUGCAACUGAUUACUCAAGGUGAGCUCCACGCAGCUAGCAUCCACAGGACACAGCCUCCAGCCUCCACAUGUGGGCGCAGUGUUCUCAGGGACAGGUGCCCCCAGAGUGC